rnacentral:rRNA from 1 species
CAGAACGAACGCUGGCGGCAUGCCUAACACAUGCAAGUCGAACGAACCCUUCGGGGUUAGUGGCGCACGGGUGCGUAACGCGUGGGAUCUGCCCAAAGGUUCGGAAUAACUCAGAGAAAUUUGAGCUAAUACCAGAUAAUGUCUUCGGACCAAAGAUUUAUUGCCUUUGGAUGAACCCGCGUAGGAUUAGCUUGUUGGUGGGGUAAAAGCCUACCAAGGCGACGAUCCUUAGCUGGUCUGAGAGGAUGAUCAGCCACACUGGGACUGAGACACGGCCCAGACUCCUACGGGAGGCAGCAGUGGGGAAUAUUGGACAAUGGGCGAAAGCCUGAUCCAGCAAUGCCGCGUGAGUGAUGAAGGCCUUAGGGUUGUAAAGCUCUUUUACCAGGGAUGAUAAUGACAGUACCUGGAGAAUAAGCUCCGGCUAACUCCGUG